UAGGGAAUCUUCCGCAAUGGACGCAAGUCUGACGGAGCAACGCCGCGUGAGUGAAGAAGGAUUUCGGUUCGUAAAACUCUGUUGUUAGAGAAGAACAGCGCAUAGAGUAACUGUUAUGCGUGUGACGGUAUCUAACCAGAAAGCCACGGCUAACUACGUGCCAGCAGCCGCGGUAAUACGUAGGUGGCAAGCGUUGACCGGAUUUAUUGGGCGUAAAGCGAGCGCAGGCGGUCAAUUAAGUCUGAUGUGAAAGCCCCCGGCUCAACCGGGGAGGGUCAUUGGAAACUGGUUGACUUGAGUGCAGAAGAGGAGAGUGGAAUUCCAUGUGUAGCGGUGAAAUGCGUAGAUAUAUGGAGGAACACCAGUGGCGAAGGCGACUCUCUGGUCUGUAACUGACGCUGAGGUUCGAAAGCGUGGGUAGCAAACAGG
rnacentral:rRNA from 1 species